UACGUAGGGUGCAAGCGUUAAUCGGAAUUACUGGGCGUAAAGCGUGCGCAGGCGGCUUUGCAAGACAGAUGUGAAAUCCCCGGGCUCAACCUGGGAACUGCAUUUGUGACUGCAAGGCUAGAGUACGGCAGAGGGGGGUGGAAUUCCGCGUGUAGCAGUGAAAUGCGUAGAGAUGCGGAGGAACACCGAUGGCGAAGGCAGCCCCCUGGGCUAGCACUGACGCUCAGGCACGAAAGCGUGGGGAGCAAACAGG
rnacentral:rRNA from 1 species